rnacentral:lncRNA from 1 species
UCCCCUCACAGAACUACCAUCUAAGCCAACUACUUGUCAUUCCCUCAACACUUCUGGCCCUUUCCAGUCUCUAUGUUUGCUCACUCUGGUUUUGGGGGUGCCCUUCCCCCUUUUCUGCCUAAUUAAACCCUACUCAUUCUUCAGGGUCCAGUCCAAACAUCUUCUCUUCUAGGAAACCAUAUCUACAUCCUAAAAGAGCUCCUCCCCCUUACCCCACACUCCUCUUCAUAGCCUCUGCUGUAAUUAAGGACUUAGGGUCUCACCCCAACACUGCACAAAGGUGAUGUGGAUCAAAGAUCAUGCCUGGGAGUCAGGGAGAUUGAGGUUUGAUUCCUGGAUCAGUCACUUGUCAGCCCUAUAAUCUUGGACAAGUUGCUUGGCCUUCUCAAGCCCCCUUGUAAAAUGGGGGGGAAAUAGGACAAUGCUGAAAAGUAAAUGAGAGAAUGCUCAUUAAGCCAUCAGCACCAUGCUCCGUACACAUGAAGCUCUUAAUAAAUGUUAGUUGUUAUUACUGUCUCCGGCUCUCCUCCACCUUUAGACCCACCCCACAGUAGGCCAGCCAAGGUCUUGACCGGCUCAAUAUGUGAAAGGGGAAUUUUAUUGGACCAAGUCUCCAAGUUCCAGAAGUGAAGAGGCUUCCUCCUGAGAGAAGCAGAGAUGCUGAAAAGAGACCGGAAUUUCUGACAACCAGAGAUCCCAAGAAAGGAAAGGAUGGUUGGCCUGGGAUUGUGCCUCGACCCAGAAAAGCCAAUCUAGGACCUGUGCACGGACAAUCAGAUUUUCUGUGAAUUUGGAACUAGGAUGGGAGAUCAUUGAAGGUGAAGUUGCUAGACCUGUAAGGUCAUGCACAAGAAGUUGGCCUACAGACUCAGGGCGUGAUCCCGGCAUCAUGGGAUCGAGCCCCACAUCAGGCUCUUCCGCUAUGAGCCUGCUUCUUCCUCUCCCACUCCCCCUGCUUGUGUUCCCUCUCUCGCUGGCUGUCUCUAUCUCUAUCGAAUAAAUAAAUAAAUAAAAUCUUUAAAAAAAAAAAAAAGAACUC